rnacentral:lncRNA from 1 species
AUAUUUCAUUUUCUUUCUUCCUCAUUUUUAAUUUUUCUUCAACUUUUCCUGCUAUCCUCAUUCUGCCAAAUCUUCAGAUCAUUAAAUGAAAUCCGUCUUUCUGUUUUAAGCUCUGAUAUUCUUAUUUGAAAGGAAGCUUGAUUCACAUUUUGAAUAUCUGUGAGUCUGUGGCAAAUUCCUUUUAAAGAAGGUGACCACUCUCCUGGUGUCCACCUUCCUACAACUUCCUUUUGCUAAUGGAGCAGAAAAAAAAAGAAGACACUUAAGAUUUUCUGAUGAUUUUCAAGGUAACAUUCUAGGCGGUACAGCUUUUAGUGCUGCUCCUCACUUGAUUAGAGGUCAGUGCUGCUGGUUUUGACAGCAUGUUUAGAAGCGUUCUUAUUUCAAUUUCCCAAUAACUUCCAUCCCCAGUGCCAGUCUUUUGUCUUUGAGUUUCACAUCUUGCAGUUCUCUUUUUUACCUUAUGAUGUCCACUUAUCUAAGCAGCUGAGAGAAGUGAACUUCUGCUUUUCCCAGGCCAGUGCUGUUGAGGAAUGGUAUCUGACUGCUUGACUAGUUUAUGAAAGACAGAUGUUUCCAUCUGAAAAUUCUGGCUUUGAUGCAGUUCUUUACUUCCAUUUGUACCUUAUUUGGUUUCAAGUUAGACUGAGUAUGACCUUAGUUUCAUCCUGGGACUUUUUUUUUUUUUUUCUUAAUUAAUACUUCCUUGCUCUUUACUUUUUUCAUAAAUAUCAUAUGGAAUGGAUCAAAAUAUUCAUUUGUUAUCCCUAAGGAACUAUGUUUAACACUCUGCAAUUUAGAAAUAGAAAGUCAUAAAAGCAUUAAGGUGAAACUUUUCUUUUUACUCUUUCUUGAGCAUGCCCCUUUCCCAAUUUGGGUUUGUAUUAUCACAGCUUAAUAGGAAUGAAAGUUCGAAGAGCUUUUAUCCUGAAGUCCACUGUGCCAUUGCUAGUGUCAUCCAUCCACUUACCCACCCAGGCAUCAACUCCCAACUAAGGAAACCCCAUUUCAGGAUGAAAUUGACCCUCUAGGCUGUUUAUAAAAAAUAGCUUGAGAGUUUUCCCACAUCCUUGACUGGACUGUUAUAAAACCAUCUUGGCAGAUGCAGUAACAGGGUACCCACCAUACACUUAUGCCUUUGUACGUGUGCCUCUGUAUGCGUAUGUGUGUAUGGACACACACUUCCCUACCCACAGAGCACUGUUUUGCCCUAAGAAAUUGAUAGCACCUCCGUUGACUCUAAGUCCCUUGAGGAUGGUGGGAGUGACAGGUAGAGAGAGCACAGCAGAAUGGAAAUGGAAAUUGUGCUGGGUUGGAUGUCAGGAGAUAGAUUUACCAAUCCUGUUUGUACUAUUCAUUUCCUCUGUAUCCCGGGACAACUUAACCUCCCCAGGAGUCAGUACUUUCACAUGGAAAUGGAGUUAAUAAUACUAGCCCUUCUUAACCCAGUGGGCUGUAGGGCAAAUAAAGUGAGAUCGUGGGUGUAUGGGAAGCUUGAAAUGGAUAAACCCAGACUUCUACAGGUGAACUUCAGGGUGCCUGACAGAGGAAUAUCUUUAUCUGAAGUAAAAGGCAAUGUUAGAGGGAAAAUCUGUUAUGGAACAGUCUUCCACUUCCUUUCACAUUAAAAUCCUGUGUUGGGCAAGAGAGCUAACAACCCUGUAAUGUGAGAAUCAUGAUUUGUUCAUGUGCUCAGCAAUGUGCUGAGAAUAUUUUUACUUACAUAAGGGUUACCCGAUCACGUUCCAAUUCUGUAUUAGUAAAUACGUCAUUAAAGAACACAGCCCAUCACCAGCCAUGUCACUUGAUGGCUAAGUGCAUGGGCUUUGGCAUCAUUCAGACCUGAGUUUGCAUCCUGAUUUUGCCACUUAAUAGCUGUAUGUCCUGAGACAAGUUGUUUAUCUCUCCAAUAUUAGUUUUUUGUUUGUUUGUUUUUGCUUUUUAGAACUGUACCCUCGGCACCUGGAGGUUCCCAGGAUAGGGGUCUAAUCAGAGCUACAGCUGCUGGCCUCUACCACAACUCAUGGCAACGCCAGAUCCUCGACACAUGGAUCAAGGGCAGGGAUCGAACCUGAAACCUCACGGUGCCUAGUCAGAUUUGUUUCUGCUGCGCCGUGAUGGGAACUCCAAUCUUAGUUUUAUUACCUACAAAAUGGACACCAAAAUAGUACCUUCCUCCAUUGUGUAGGAAUAAUGCGUCAAGGUACUUCAUAUACUUGAUGGUACAUAAUAAGAACUCAACAAAUGAUAGUUCCUAGUAGGCAACAGUAGCUGGGGUAGGGGUGGUUGAAUGUUUUCUUUCUUCUGCUUUUCUGAACUUCCAAAUGUCCUAUAAUGACCUCUUUCCAGCUUCAUUAAGAUAUAAUUGAAAUAUAAUAUGAUGACUUUUUAAUAGUCAGAUUUAGAGGUAAUUAUUAUUUUAAAUUAGUGCAACCAUUAAUAAAGAAUAAAUAUGGUCAUAGGUUGGCACAGUGCACCUGUUAUGACAAUGCUUCCUCAUUUCUGUUAGGCUUUACAGCUUACAUAGCACUUUUACAGAUGCUGUCUCAUCCACCUCUUAAAACUAGCCUAUGGGCUCAGGACAACUCAUAUUCCCAUUCUACAGAUCUGGAGGCUGAGGGUCACAAAGGAAUAUACAUAGUUAUAUAGCUCGUGAAAUGGUAGAUCUUAGAUGUGUCAGGAUUGUGUUCAGUUGCAAUAAACAGACACCCAGUUACACUGGUGUGGUAGUGAGAAUUUUCUAGAAAAACAGAACCAAUAAAGGAGAUCUCUUGCAUACACACACACAUAUACUAUAUAUAUAUAUAUAUAUAUCAUAUAUAUCUCAUAUAUAUCUGUGUGUGUGUAAAGAGAGAGAAGGAGAAGAGGAAAGAUCGAUUUGUUUUAAGCAAUAGGCUCACACGGUUUUGGAGGGUAGCAAGUCCAAAAUCUGCAGGGUAGUCUGGUUGGCUGGAGACCCAGGAAAUCGAUGUUGGAACUCGAGUCUAAAGGCCAUCUGCUGGCAGAAUUUCUUCUUUCUCUGGGGAGAUCAGUUUUUAAUUAAGGUCUUCAACUGUGAUGAGGCUCAUCCACAUUACAGAGGGUAAUGUGCUUAUUCAACGGCUACUGAUUUCAAAGUUUACCUCAUCUAAAACAUACCUUCACAGCACCAUUCAGACAUGUUUGGCUAAAUGUCUGGGAACCAUGGCCAAGCCAAAUCGACACAUAAAUUCAAGUGUCACAAGUUACUUGACCGGGCUUUGCUUUUUCCAGGGUCUUCAGCAAAUUCAGAGUCAUCAGGACUCAGCUCUUCCUGUCUUUUUGCUUGGUUAUGUCUGGCCAUGGGACUUUAGUCUUCAUGUUUAUAAACUUGCUGUUCCAUCUUUGGCCUUCAGAGGCUGGAGAAAAGGGACAAGCAGUGGGCAAAAGGCAAAAGCUAACAAACUGUUUAUGUCAUCUGAGUCUUCCCUUUCCAACAGACUUUCCUGGAAGCCUCACCACUUAGCAACUUCCUAUUGAUCUUACUCAUCAGUUAAUAUCUUUCUGAUAAGUCCUAGAUGCAAGGACUUUUGGGAGCUGAGUGUUUUGUGUAUGCUACU